rnacentral:SRP_RNA from 1 species
GCCGAGCUAUUAACGACAGCUUGUUACUCAAGUGAGGGCAUAAAAUUGUUGGAACACGGCUUAAGGUAAGCUGCUAUGGGUUAUGUCUAUCACAUCUGCAAUAGGGUGGUUAAGACUCUUAUGACGCCUUUAAUCUAAGCCAGAGUUUCGGCACUCGUACGUGGAUAAUAAGGAUAGAAAACUACCCUUGAACCAUCAAUUUU